GUCAACAUCUCCCAAAGGUACAGUAGGUUAGUGGAUCUGUGCGUGUCUGUGUGUGUUUGUGCGUGUGUGUAUGUGUGUGUGUGUGUGUGAGAGAGAGAGAAAGA